AGCCCUAAGUAUUUAUUUAGGGUAAUACCUGCCCAAUGAGAAAUUUAAUGGCCGCGGUACUUUGACCGUGCUAAGGUAGCAUAAUCAAUUGACUUUUAAAUGAAGUCUGGAAUGAAAGGGGGAACGGAAUUUAGCUGUCUUAAUUUUUUUAAUUUGAAUUUACUAACUAAGUGAAAAGGCUUAGAUAAGAUAAAAGACGAGAAGACCCUAAGAGUUUUUAAACUAUUUUUGUUGGGGCGACAUAGGGUCAAAUUAUAACACCCUAAAUGUAUAUGACGGAUUUAUCAUGUGAAGAUAAACUACCUUAGGGAUAACAGCAUAAUCCUUUUGGGUUUGUGACCUCGAUGUUGGACUAGGAAGCCUUUAGGCUAGCUGCCUAAUAGGGAGAUUCUGUUCGAAUUAUUACUCCUACGUGAUCUGAGUUC
rnacentral:rRNA from 1 species